UGAAUACGAGAUGCUACGGCGUCGAAGCAGUCUAUGUCAUACUUCCAAGAAAAGCUGCACUGUCAUAAACAAAUAAUGCCUGUACCAUAACCGACACAGGUGGGUAGGUAGAGUAUACUAAGGGGCGCGAGAUAACUCUCUCUAAGGAACUCGGCAAAAUGACUCCGUAACUUCGGGAGAAGGAGUGCCUUAUUUUAUAAGGUUGCAAUAACAAGAUCCAAGCAACUGUUUACCAAAAACACAGGUCUCCGCUAAGUCGUAAGACGAUGUAUGGGGGCUGACGCCUGCCCAGUGCCAGAAGGUUAAAGAAGUUGGUUAGCAUCCGCGAAGCUGAUAACUGAAGCCCUGGUGAACGGCGGCCGUAACUAUAACGGUCCUAAGGUAGCGAAAUUCCUUGUCGGGUAAGUUCCGACCCACACGAAAGGCGUAAUGAUUUGGAUACUGUCUCAGAGAGGGGCUCGGUGAAAUAGACUUGUCUGUGAAGAUGCGGACUACCUGCACCAGGACAGAAAGACCCUAUGAAGCUUUACUGUAACUUGAAAUUGAAAUUGGACUUUACUUGCGCAGUAUAGGUGGGAGGCGUUGAGAAUAUUCUUGCGGGAAUGUUGGAGCCAUCAGUGAGAUACCACUCUUGUAAUGUUAGAUUUCUAACUUUGUAUCAUUAUCUGGUCAAAGGACAGUUUCAGGCGGGCAGUUUGACUGGGGCGGUCGCCUCCCAAACGGUAACGGAGGCGCACAAAGGUUUCCUCUGAACGGGUAGAAAUCGUAUCUAGAGUGUAAAGGCAUAAGGAAGCUUGACUGUGAGACCUACAAGUCGAGCAGGGACGAAAGUCGGUCUUAGUGAUCUGACGGUGCUGAGUGGAAAGGCCGUCACUCAACGGAUAAAAGUUACUCUAAGGAUAACAGGCUGAUCUCCCCCAAGAGUUCACAUCGACGGGGAGGUUUGGCACCUGAUGUCGGCUCAUCGCAUCCUGGGGCGGUAGUACGUCCCAAGGGUUGGGCUGUUCGCCCAUGAAAGCGGUACGCGAGCUGGGUUCAGAACGUCGUGAGACAGUUCGGUCCAUAUCCGGUGUAGGCGUUAGAAUAUUGAGAGGAGCCUUCUUUAGUACGAGAGGACCGAGAAGGACAUACCUCUGGUGUACCAGUUAUCGUGCCAACGGUAAACGCUGGGUAGCUAUGUAUGGAGUGGAUAACCGCUGAAAGCAUCUAAGUGGGAAGCCCACCUCAAGAUAAGUAUUCUCA
rnacentral:rRNA from 1 species